UUAAGCGACUAAGCGUACACGGUGGAUGCCCUGGCAGUCAGAGGCGAUGAAGGACGUGCUAAUCUGCGAUAAGCGUCGGUAAGGUGAUAUGAACCGUUAUAACCGGCGAUUUCCGAAUGGGGAAACCCAGUGUGUUUCGACACACUAUCAUUAACUGAAUCCAUAGGUUAAUGAGGCGAACCGGGGGAACUGAAACAUCUAAGUACCCCGAGGAAAAGAAAUCAACCGAGAUUCCCCCAGUAGCGGCGAGCGAACGGGGAGCAGCCCAGAGCCUGAAUCAGUGUGUGUGUUAGUGGAAGCGUCUGGAAAGGCGCGCGAUACAGGGUGACAGCCCCGUACACAAAAAUGCACAUAUUGUGAGCUCGAUGAGUAGGGCGGGACACGUGGUAUCCUGUCUGAAUAUGGGGGGACCAUCCUCCAAGGCUAAAUACUCCUGACUGACCGAUAGUGAACCAGUACCGUGAGGGAAAGGCGAAAAGAACCCCGGCGAGGGGAGUGAAAAAGAACCUGAAACCGUGUACGUACAAGCAGUGGGAGCACGCUUAGGCGUGUGACUGCGUACCUUUUGUAUAAUGGGUCAGCGACUUAUAUUCUGUAGCAAGGUUAACCGAAUAGGGGAGCCGAAGGGAAACCGAGUCUUAACUGGGCGUUAAGUUGCAGGGUAUAGACCCGAAACCCGGUGAUCUAGCCAUGGGCAGGUUGAAGGUUGGGUAACACUAACUGGAGGACCGAACCGACUAAUGUUGAAAAAUUAGCGGAUGACUUGUGGCUGGGGGUGAAAGGCCAAUCAAACCGGGAGAUAGCUGGUUCUCCCCGAAAGCUAUUUAGGUAGCGCCUCGUGAAUUCAUCUCCGGGGGUAGAGCACUGUUUCGGCAAGGGGGUCAUCCCGACUUACCAACCCGAUGCAAACUGCGAAUACCGGAGAAUGUUAUCACGGGAGACACACGGCGGGUGCUAACGUCCGUCGUGAAGAGGGAAACAACCCAGACCGCCAGCUAAGGUCCCAAAGUCAUGGUUAAGUGGGAAACGAUGUGGGAAGGCCCAGACAGCCAGGAUGUUGGCUUAGAAGCAGCCAUCAUUUAAAGAAAGCGUAAUAGCUCACUGGUCGAGUCGGCCUGCGCGGAAGAUGUAACGGGGCUAAACCAUGCACCGAAGCUGCGGCAGCGACGCUGAUGCGUUGUUGGGUAGGGGAGCGUUCUGUAAGCCUGUGAAGGUGUGCUGUGAGGCAUGCUGGAGGUAUCAGAAGUGCGAAUGCUGACAUAAGUAACGAUAAAGCGGGUGAAAAGCCCGCUCGCCGGAAGACCAAGGGUUCCUGUCCAACGUUAAUCGGGGCAGGGUGAGUCGACCCCUAAGGCGAGGCCGAAAGGCGUAGUCGAUGGGAAACAGGUUAAUAUUCCUGUACUUGGUGUUACUGCGAAGGGGGGACGGAGAAGGCUAUGUUGGCCGGGCGACGGUUGUCCCGGUUUAAGCGUGUAGGCUGGUUUUCCAGGCAAAUCCGGAAAAUCAAGGCUGAGGCGUGAUGACGAGGCACUACGGUGCUGAAGCAACAAAUGCCCUGCUUCCAGGAAAAGCCUCUAAGCAUCAGGUAACAUCAAAUCGUACCCCAAACCGACACAGGUGGUCAGGUAGAGAAUACCAAGGCGCUUGAGAGAACUCGGGUGAAGGAACUAGGCAAAAUGGUGCCGUAACUUCGGGAGAAGGCACGCUGAUAUGUAGGUGAAGUCCCUCGCGGAUGGAGCUGAAAUCAGUCGAAGAUACCAGCUGGCUGCAACUGUUUAUUAAAAACACAGCACUGUGCAAACACGAAAGUGGACGUAUACGGUGUGACGCCUGCCCGGUGCCGGAAGGUUAAUUGAUGGGGUCAGCGCAAGCGAAGCUCUUGAUCGAAGCCCCGGUAAACGGCGGCCGUAACUAUAACGGUCCUAAGGUAGCGAAAUUCCUUGUCGGGUAAGUUCCGACCUGCACGAAUGGCGUAAUGAUGGCCAGGCUGUCUCCACCCGAGACUCAGUGAAAUUGAACUCGCUGUGAAGAUGCAGUGUACCCGCGGCAAGACGGAAAGACCCCGUGAACCUUUACUAUAGCUUGACACUGAACAUUGAGCCUUGAUGUGUAGGAUAGGUGGGAGGCUUUGAAGUGUGGACGCCAGUCUGCAUGGAGCCGACCUUGAAAUACCACCCUUUAAUGUUUGAUGUUCUAACGUGGACCCGUGAUCCGGGUUGCGGACAGUGUCUGGUGGGUAGUUUGACUGGGGCGGUCUCCUCCUAAAGAGUAACGGAGGAGCACGAAGGUUGGCUAAUCCUGGUCGGACAUCAGGAGGUUAGUGCAAUGGCAUAAGCCAGCUUGACUGCGAGCGUGACGGCGCGAGCAGGUGCGAAAGCAGGUCAUAGUGAUCCGGUGGUUCUGAAUGGAAGGGCCAUCGCUCAACGGAUAAAAGGUACUCCGGGGAUAACAGGCUGAUACCGCCCAAGAGUUCAUAUCGACGGCGGUGUUUGGCACCUCGAUGUCGGCUCAUCACAUCCUGGGGCUGAAGUAGGUCCCAAGGGUAUGGCUGUUCGCCAUUUAAAGUGGUACGCGAGCUGGGUUUAGAACGUCGUGAGACAGUUCGGUCCCUAUCUGCCGUGGGCGCUGGAGAACUGAGGGGGGCUGCUCCUAGUACGAGAGGACCGGAGUGGACGCAUCACUGGUGUUCGGGUUGUCAUGCCAAUGGCACUGCCCGGUAGCUAAAUGCGGAAGAGAUAAGUGCUGAAAGCAUCUAAGCACGAAACUUGCCCCGAGAUGAGUUCUCCCUGACUCCUUGAGAGUCCUGAAGGAACGUUGAAGACGACGACGUUGAUAGGCCGGGUGUGUAAGCGCAGCGAUGCGUUGAGCUAACCGGUACUAAUGAACCGUGAGGCUUAACCUU
rnacentral:rRNA from 1 species